CAUGUUCUUUUGUUUAUAUAAAAGAUUUGACCUGCCCAAUGAUUUUAUAUUUAAUGGCUGCAGUAUUUUGACUGUACAAAGGUAGCAUAAUCAUUUGUCUUUUAAUUGAAGUCUAGAAUGAAUGGUUUGAUGAAAAAUAUAUUUUCUUUAUUUUAUAGUUAAAAUUUAAUUUUUUAGUCAAAAAGCUAAAAUUUUGUUAUAGGACGAGAAGACCCUAUAGAACUUUAUUUUUAAAUUUAUAUAUUUGAUAUAGGAUAUUUUAAAUUAUAUAGAAAUUAAAUUUUGUUGGGGUGACAGAAAAAAUAUAAUAACUUUUUCUAUUUUUUUCAUUAUUAUUGAAUUUUUGAUCCUUUUUUAGGGAUAAAAGAUCAAGUUACCUUAGGGAUAACAGCGUUAUUAUCUUAGAGAGUUCAUAUCGAUAAGAUAGUUUGCGACCUCGAUGUUGGAUUAUAAUAAGAUAUGGGAGUAGAAUAUCACUUUCUAGGUCUGUUCGACCUUUAAAUUUUUACAU
rnacentral:rRNA from 1 species